AAUAAGUGCAGUUUUGCACUGUUCAUGUCUAACGUUUGACCGUUCGUCUUAUUUGAAAAUUUUUUACGAUUAAUAUUUUUGUUGUUAUUAGAUAAUAAAAUAUGAAUAGUAUUUUAUGUGUGACUAACUUUUUUAAUUUUCUUAUAAAUUUUUCAAAUAAGACGGACGGUCAAACGUUGGACAUGAAUUUCUACGGGCUAUACUUAUU
rfam:Oryza sativa (indica cultivar-group) chromosome 11, whole genome shotgun sequence.